ensembl:lncRNA
CUUAUCUGUGUCUAGUAAUAUAACACCACACCUUUUCUCUUAAUUUGUAAGAAAAAUAUUACAUGUGGUGUAUCCUUGGCUUUCUACGAAAUGAGGUUUUAUCAGACAUAGUUGUUUUAUUUUUAGUUGAAUUUAUUGGCUAUAGAAUUAAAUAAUAUUUCAUUAUCUGGGUCUCAAAAAAUAGAGUAAAUGCUAUCAAAAUUCUGAUUACAUAGCCUCACAAAUUGCUUGUGCCAUAAGUUUAAGAAGAAAGCAAACUACAUUGAAAGCCAGUGACCAAUCAUUUGCACACAAAGGAAUCACAUUAAAAUACAAAACUAAAGCUAUAAUAUAUAUGCAAAGGACCUGGAGGGUAAGAGAGAGAGAGAGAAGCAAAAAAUUAAAGAUAAAAGAUAAAAAUAAAAAAGAAAGAAAGACAGACAGGAGAGAGAGAGAAAGAGCGAGCCCUAAUUUGACAUGGUAAGACAAGGAAACUCCAAAUAGGCUGCUGGGUUCAUUUUCUAUUGCCCACCUAAACUGGGCAUGUGGUCUACCCUUAGGAGUAGUUUGUUUCCCCAGUGAAACUCCCUUCAAGAAAACUAAAUUUUCAUUUGCAAGUGUUUAUGAAUUGGAGAUAGCUUCCAUGUUAGGUACUGGGACAAGUCUCCUUUCAGCUCUAGGGACCCAUCUGCUGCAGACCCAUGCAGGACCUCUGCAUGCUGUCGCAGUCUCUGUGAGCUCAUAUGUGCAUCUGUCUUGAGUGUUUAGAGGCCCUUGCUUUCUUAGUGUCUUCAUCUCCUCUGGCUCUUGUACUCUUUCCAUCUUCUCUUCUGCAGGGUUCCCUGAAUCCUGCAGGGAGAGAUUUGCUAGAACCCACUUAGGGCUGAGCAUUUCAAGGUCUCUCCCUCUGCACCAUGUCUGGCUGUAAGUCUCUGUAUUUCUUCCCAUCUGCUGCAGGAGGAAGCUUCUCUGAUGAUUGCAAAGCAAGGCACUGAUCUAUGUGUAUAGAAGAAUGUCAUUAGAAGUCAUUUUAUUGCUGCAUUUCCUUAGGAGAACAGUAUUUGAUUUUAUCCUAUGUCCCUGAGCUAUCUAGUCUUGUACUCUAAGUUUCCAAAGCAGCGUUGGGUAUGGUUCCAUUUGGUGGAAUGAUCUUUAAGUCACACCAUGUAUUGGUUGGUUAUUCCCACACGGUUUAUGACACCAUUGCACUAGCAUAUCUUUCAGGCAGGACCAUUGUAGCGUGAAGUGUUUGUAACUAGGUUGGUGUUUACAUUUCUCCUUUGGUAAUGUGUAGAAUACCUUCCUAUACCAAAGACACUAGAAUGUAGGGGUGAAGGUUGUAUGUAGGCAACAGCUCAAUAUCUCCAUGUUCAGUGAUUUAUGUAGGUUAUGUCUUCAGCAAUGGGCCCUUACCUUAAGUUUGUGGAAAUCGACCUAUAGCAUUGGGAACACCUUGGAUUGCUUGGAAAUUCCCAUAGGAUCCCUUUGCCCAAAAACUCAAUUAGCUGUAACCUAUUCCUGGUACUGGAAGUGUCAUUUGGUGAAAAGAGAUGGCCCGUUGGGGCUCUUUCUCCAACAUUAUUUGGUGAUGUCAUUCAGAUCACUUUCAUAUAUAAUGUAAAUAAAGCUUCUACUGUACUAUAUUUCCAUACUACCCCUCAGACAACCCUUGAUUUUAGAUGUCUCUCUCCUUAUUCCCUGUUCCCUCUCUCUCCCUGAUUAGUCCUCCCUUAGUCCUUAACUCUAUAGUUAGCCUCUGUGGUUCUACAGAUUGUACCAUGCUUAUUGACUUAACAGCUAAUUCCCACAUAUAAGCAAAUAAAUUCUGGUAACAUUUGUCUUUCUGGGUUUGGGUUACCUCACUCAGAAUUUUUUCCUAUCAUUUUACCUGUGAAUUUUAUUUUUUCAUUUUUUAAACAGCUGAGUAGUAUUCCAUUAUGUGAAUGCACCACAUUUUCUUUAUCCAUUCAUCUGUUGAAAGACAUCUAGGUUGUUUCCAUUCCUGGCUAUUAUGGAUACAGUAGCAAUGAGUAUGGUUGAGCAAGUGUCUCUACCAUAUAAUGAGCAUCCUUUGGGUAUAUCUCCAAGAUGGAUCUUGAGGUAGAUCUAUUCCCAGCUUUCUGAGGAAGUGCCACACUGACUUCCAUUUUUUUUUUUUUUUUUUUUUUGGUUUUUCGAGACAGGGUGUCUCUGUGUAGCUUUGGAGUCUAUCCUGGCACUUGCUCUGGAGACUGGGCUGGCUCGAAAUCACAGAGAUCUGCCUGCCUCUGCCUCCCAAGUGCUGGGAUUAAAGGCGUGUGCCACCAAUGCCCAGCUGACUUCCAAUUUUUUAAAUGUCCUAAAAUUUGUAAUUGUCAGAAAAGUUUUACUUACAUUAGUUGUAGUUCAUGUCAACACAAAAGAAGAUGAAAGCUAUAAAGACUGUAUCCCACAAACGUGUUUCAUACAAGGAACAAUGCUUUGGGCUUCCUUUAAAAAAUGUGUUUAUAAAAAAUUUAAAUGUGUUUAUUUUCAGCUAGAUAAUGGUGGUGCACACCCUUAAUCCCAGCACUCAGGAGACAGAGCAGACAGAUUUCUGAGUUCAAGGCCACCCUGGUCUACAGAGGGAGUUCCAAGGACAGCCAGGGCUACACAGACAAACCCUAUCUUGAAAAACAAACAAAAUAGUGGUGGGGGGUAUUUUCAUCACAAAUACAUACUCAUAGCAGAUGUGAACAUGUCCUGCAAAUGUGGGAAACACAAAAAUUCUCCCUUGAGUUUAUGUCCAAACUCCAGACAACUAUAAUUACAAACGCAAUUAAUUCAUUGAUUUAUAAAUCUUGGAGUGCCUUCAAGUAGAAUAACCAUCUCUCCAAUUUCUAAUAUCAGAAAGAAAUAUAGAUAAAAGUGACAAUGGUUUUAUGUAGCAAAACAUAAGUGAAACCAUACUGUAGAGGCUUCUGUCUCCCCAGGAAGGGAUAGUCUCUAAAUCAAGACAUCUUUAUCUUACAAGAUGAAGCCAAGAGAGUACUUCUAAUAAAUGAUCUUCAUUUGUAGUUUGUACCUUACGACAUGACCCAAAAGGCCAUUCUGAGAGACCUUGGUCUUUUUUUGAACUCCCAAUCCUCGAGACUCUGCCUUCCUAUGAAGUUCCCAAAGUGUGUCCACAACUUGGAUUGUGACUUUCAAUCACAGAUUUCAAAGUCCUUACUUCUCACUUCUACUACAGACCAGGGGAUCCAGAUUCCAUCUCGGUGAGGCUGAGCCUCUGAAUGGAUUCCAGGAGUUCACUCCCUGGUUCUACUUCUUGACAAAUUCAUCAGAACCAUCCAGAGGUGAAGACAAUGCAGUAGGAAUUACGAGAUAAACCAAUGCCAAUAUUCAGGGACUCUGAUGGUGGUUGUCUCGGGGAUGUACUUCUUCUUCUUCUUCUUCUUCUUCUUCUUCUUCUUCUUCUUCUUCUUCUUCUUCUUCUUCUUCUUCUUCUUCUUCUUCUGUGAUUCUUAAGUGUGUGUCCUAACGACCUAGCCAGCCGGCGUG